ACAGACAGCAUGGAGAGCCAGCUGCUUGCCAGCCUGUGGGAGCCCGGAAGAAUGUCCAGAGCAGUGCACUUGUGUAGGGUUGCAAACCUUCAUCAGCUCUGGUUUCUAAUAUCUGCAUGUGUUUUUAUCACAUAGAAUGUGGAGGAAUGGGCCCAGGACCAAACUGGAGAUUUCAGAUGCCUCAUAGCACAACCUCAUAUUGCUGAACAGAACAUCCUGGUUGAAGAAAUAGUGUCCUGCCAGCCCCAUUUCACAGCAACCAACCUCAUAUGAGACAAUGUGCUCUGGAAAUGGAAGAAAAACAAGCACCACAGAGGUUGGUCCUGGAUUGCUGCGGCCAGCAAAGCAGCAGAAGAUAUGUUGAUCUCGCAACUUCUUUCUUCAUUAGUUCUCGGAGGGUUUUUCGUGUGCAUCUGAGGACUAAACAGAAGAUUAUAGUGAAACAGCAAAACAUAGCUAGUGUUCAGUGAGAUCACCUCCGAUGUCUUUGAUCCACUUGAGAGGACUCAAUGAGUUAAGGCCCUCUGUAUUCCUUGAAGUCUAUCUGCACCUGGUAAUGGUCUAAGAGAAGCAUGCUGCAUGCCAAUGAUUUUUGCCUGUAGCUUUUUAAUAUCUAGAGUAAAGUUGUCAGCCGUAUGGCCCUGCAAGUGCUGUCUAACCUUUUCCCAGGAGUGUUUAGAUUAGUUAUAUUCCUGGGCAUGUCACACAAAAAGUAGUAAUGUUCCAGUCACACUUUAAAUGUAUUUGUAAUUUAAGAUUUUGUACUUCUUCUCCUAAGAGUAGCACUGCAUUUUCUAAAUCCACCAACCUGUUGUUAAUCUCCUCAUCUAUAUGAGUUUGGGCUCCCCAGUAUACUCUGAGAUUUUUGUGUAUGUCUGGAGACAGUCU